GCACUGCUGAGGAGUCCCAUAAUAGGACAAAACGACAGUCCAGUGC
rnacentral:hammerhead_ribozyme from 1 species